AUUUUUCUGGGGGUGGGCUUAGGGACAUUUAUCUCUCCCCGUCCUCCUCGGGGAGAGCAUGUGCAGCCUGCUCCCCAGCGGUCGGCAUCUCAUCUGAGGCCCUUCGCCUCAUUUCUACGCUGCAGACACUUGCCCACAAAAUUUUCUGACAAAUUCUUUUCUUCAGCAUUUAGCGAGGAUUUCACGAGCAAAGCAAAAGACUCUGCCUGCAGGCUGAUUGGUUGCCAAAGAAAAGGUGAAGACAUUUCUGAAGAACAGUCCCAUUUGAGAAUUGAAAAGCAGCCUGGCCAAACGUGUGGCCGAGUUCCCUGGUACGUGGCUGGAAGCAGUAAGGGGUCAAAGCCGAGUGAAAUCCUCUGGCGUUUUCUUCUGACAUCCAGAAAUCUGCCAAGUGAGUUUGCUGGGAGCGUCCAGUUUUUUCAGCUUAACGCUAGGUAUACUUUCUGCCUUCGGCACAAUUGUUUCCAAAUGCCUGCUGGUUGCAAUAUGAUUUUCCCAUCUUGAAAAUCUAUUAAAAAGGAAGAGAUUCUUCACUUCUCCCCACCCCACCUCCAGGCACUGCAGAUGGCGAUUAACACCCUACACAGCCCCUCCCCACAGCAUCAUCGAUUUUUUGCCUGCAUUGCAUCUACUUCACAGUUCGAGACAUGCCAAAUCACACACGUUCUAAGUACUUGUUGCUAGCAACAAAUCUCUCUUCCUCAGUGGCCAAGCAGACUAUAUUUGGCAUGUCAGAGCACCUAGCCCUUCCCUGGCCCACUUCCUUUAGCUGAGAAGUCUCCAAGCCUUAAAGUAACCUCACCCAUGUUUCCUCGGGUUCUGCUUGUUGAAGAGAGUAGCUGGGACUACAGGUGAAUGCCACAAAGCCAGGCUAAUCUGUUUGAAUUUUAAUAGAGAGGGGGUUUCACCGUGUUACUCAGGCUGGUCUCAAACUCCUGAGCUCAGGCAAUCCACCUGCCUCCACCUCCCAAACUGCUACGAUUACAGGCAUGAGCCACUACACCCGGCCUAAUGUUUGCAUUUUCAGUAGAGAUCAUGUUGGCCAGGGUCAUCUCAAACUCCUGACCUCAAGUGAUCCAGCAGUCUCAGCCCCCCAAAGUGCUGGGAUUACAGGCGUGAGCCUCUGAGACCAACAUGAGCUCAUGAAAAUAGUAAAACGAGUCCAUUUUUAGUGGCAGUAUCAGGUGCUACUCUUUCUCACCCUCUCUUUCUUUUUCAUUGAGGUGAAAUUCAUGUAACACAAACCAAAUCAUUUUAAAGUGAACAAUUAAAUGGCAUUUUGUACUUUCACAGUGUUAUGCAAUCACAUCUUUAUCUAGUUGCUAAAUAUUUCCAUCUCCCCCGAAAGGAAGCACAUCCCCAUUAACCAGUCACUCUCCAUUUCCCUCUCCUGAGCCUUCACAAACAAUACAUUUACCAGUUCGGGUUAUUUUAUAUAAACGGAUUUAUAUAAUACGUGUCUGGCU
rnacentral:lncRNA from 13 species